GCCUCGUUAGCGCAGUAGGCAGCGCGUCAGUCUGAUAAUCAAAUAAUCAAAUAGAAAUCUGAAGGUCGUGAGUUCGAUCCUCACACGGGGCA
rnacentral:tRNA from 2 species